AUGAUAUCAACCGUACCCGAGUAUCUCUUGUCUUUAGGUAAUAGUUGGCGGUUUUGUUCCCACAGAAGCUAUACAUUUGGUUACUGUCAUGGUGGUCUAAUUUGUGAUCCCGAGGAAUAUGGUGCAUGCGACUCAGGCUGUAAUGGUGGGCUGAUGACUUCUGCCUUUGAGUACACCCUCAAGGCCGGUGGACUUGAGAAAGAGAAGGAUUAUCCUUACACUGGGACCGAUCGUGGCACCUGCAAAUUUGACAAGGGAAAAAUUGUUGCUUCUGUUUCUAACUUCAGUGUUGUUUCGAUUGACGAAAAACAAAUUGCCGCAAAUUUGGUGAAGAAUGGCCCUCUUGCAAUUGGCAUCAAUGCAGUAUUCAUGCAGACUUACAUUGGAAAAGUUUCAUGUCCAUACAUCUGUGGGAAGCAAUUGGAUCAUGGGGUGCUUCUAGUGGGGUAUGGUUCUGCUAGUUAUGCUCCUAUCUAGUUCAAGGAAAAGCCAUUCUGGAUCUUAAAGAACUCUUGGGGAGAAAAUUGGGGAGAGAAUGGAUAUUACAAGAUCUGUAGGGGUCGUAACAUAUGCGAAGUGGGGUUUUGUUCAUGACUCAUCUAUUUUAGUUGGGAUCAUAAUCGAGAUGUAGCUAUUUCGGCUUUCUUGAAACACUGAAAUCACAUAUUUAUAUUGUGAAGCUAAUUUAGCUAAGCUAUAAAGCCUUUUUGUUUUGGGUUUUGUUCAUUUGGUUGUGGAUAAAAAUUUCAAUGAAUUUUUGUUGUUUAUAACAAGUGAAUCUGGUGGCCCUACUACAAGCAUAAAUGGUUUUUUCCUUUUGUUAUUACUAGAUGG